rnacentral:rRNA from 1 species
GAGCGGAUGAGGGAGCUUGCUCCUGGAUUCAGCGGCGGACGGGUGAGUAAUGCCUAGGAAUCUGCCUGGUAGUGGGGGAUAACGUCCGGAAACGGGCGCUAAUACCGCAUACGUCCUGAGGGAGAAAGUGGGGGAUCUUCGGACCUCACGCUAUCAGAUGAGCCUAGGUCGGAUUAGCUAGUUGGUGGGGUAAAGGCCUACCAAGGCGACGAUCCGUAACUGGUCUGAGAGGAUGAUCAGUCACACUGGAACUGAGACACGGUCCAGACUCCUACGGGA